rnacentral:lncRNA from 1 species
AUGAGGGUGUGUGUGUGUGUGUCCUGGGCUGGGAAAAGCAGAGGACACCUGCGCGCUGUCAGCACUCUGUGUGCGGAACCCGUUCCAGGAGAAAUGAGGGCAGCGCCGUUCCUGCCGGGCUACUCGCAGCCACACGCUCUCAGCACAGUCACACACCCGUCCUGGAAAGAAGGUCAAAGGGGCUCAAGAGACCUGCAAAGUGGGACACUUUACGUUGUUCCUUCUGAACUCGACAGUCGCACCACAGCAGAGGACACGGCCCGAGGACACCGUCACGUCCACGUCGGGCGCACGGCCACUCAGGCGUCGACAAACGCCCUCGCGUUCCUUCCGAAACGCCAGCCGCCACGCGAGACGCGGAAGGGCCAGAGAUUCCGGGCGCCCCGCCGCUGCGGACCGUCCACGCGUCCAUCCGUCCGGCAGGCCGGCUGGCGCCGCCGAGGACUGGCGCUCCGAUCGGAAUGUCGCUUCCGCCUAUCAAGUGUCAUGUGGCUCAAAGUGUCCCGUCGGCCGGGGGCCUCGCGGCUGUCAUUGCCCCCCUCCCAUACUUACCCCCCCACUCACCCCCCACUCACCAGGUCCAAGGGCAUCUUCAUUCGCCUGCUAACGACCCGAUUCGCGGAAAAGUCAAGAGCUCUUCUUCGUCCUGCUCACUCACUGUCAGCUCCGUUUGUCCCGAUACUGCGUCCCGCCAAGAGCCCACAUUUACAAACAAAAGUGCACGCGGACAGUAAGAGCCGCUUUUCCCGCCGCCGGAUCGUGACGCGAAACGCCGCCAAAGUUGGAGCGCUCGCUCGCGCCCCGGUCGGCGAAGAGUUGAAGACCGAAGUGGGCAAACGCGGGACACGACGAGACCGGCGGCGACGCGCUUGCCGGGCGUCCAGGGUGACCUCUGCAGAAACACGGUUCCCGCGCGCACGCAGCCAGCGCGACACCCCCACCGGGGACGGGGUGCCCCUCGCUCGCGACACACACGCAGGACACAACAAACAGCUCUCCUCAGCCACACGACACGCGUCACACGGCGCGUUCUUCCCGCCCGCUUCUCAGCUCGUGCGGAAAUCCACCACGUACCUUCGCUAA